UACGUAGGUGGCAAGCGUUAUCCGGAAUUAUUGGGCGUAAGGAGCGCGCAGGUGGUUAAUUAAGUCUGAUGUGAAAGCCCACGGCUUAACCGUGGAGGGUCAUUGGAAACUGGUUGACUUGAGUGCAGAAGAGGGAAGUGGAAUUCCAUGUGUAGCGGUGAAAUGCGUAGAGAUAUGGAGGAACACCAGUGGCGAAGGCGGCUUCCUGGUCUGCAACUGACACUGAGGCGCGAAAGCGUGGGGAGCAAACAGG
rnacentral:rRNA from 1 species